CUCUUGUCCACAUCUAAAGCCCAUAAACAACUAAAGCAGCCCACCUGUAGCCCUUGAGCUUUUGGCCCAAACUAGUGGAGCACCUUCCAAGUUUCCACUUCGCUGGAAAUUCUCUCGUCAAAAUGCGCUCCUCGAGAUUACUACAAGGGGAAGAAUUGCAAGCCUACUGGUUUUCACACUCGUAAAGGUGCUUGCUUAAAUGCAUUUUGGUGCAAUUUGAAGCUCAAAAUCCAUUGCUCUAAUUUUCUCAUAUCCUAACGCUGAAUGACCUUGAGUAUAGUUUUUGUGGGUACGUUAUUGUGCCUGAGAAAUUGCCCAAUUAUGUAGUCCCUGAUUUGACCGACUUCAAGCUAAAGCCUUAUGUGUCUGAGUGUCCAAUAGAAGUUAAAACAACUGAAUCUUCUGAAGCAGCCAAGUAAAAUAAAUGGAAAGAGAACAAGUAUUCAUAAAUCUCUUCCUUCAUCGUCCAGCUGCCAGCCAAGUAAAAUAAAUGGAAAGAGAACAAGUAUUCAUAAAUCUCUUCCUUCAUCGUCCAGCUGCCUCUGUGUUGAUCUAAACUAAAUUCAAACGUUGUCUGUCAUUGCCAUUAUGAAGUGCUCUUUGAAAGAAAUGAGAAUUAGUUUACUUGUUUCUAUUUCUUGCUUGUUAAACUAACAAAUUAUACUUGCCUUUUCAACUUUGAUUGCUUAAAAUAUAUGUACGGUAGCAAGAAUUGGGAGAAUCUUGUGCCCGAUCUUCUAUGUAUCCGUGUUCUCUUCAUGAUCAAAGCAUAUCCAGCCCAUUAGGAAUGAUAACCAUGCUAACUUAUCAUUUAACAUUAAUA
rnacentral:misc_RNA from 1 species